rnacentral:misc_RNA from 1 species
AAUCUUCAUAAUUAUCUCUCCCUUCUUAAGGAUUUGCAUGGAUCCAGUUUUGUUGAUAGGAAAAUCAAUUCGUAUGCUGUGGGCAUCGGAUUUUGUUGAGCUUUGAACGUUGAUCGAAGGUGCUUUCUACAGUCAAAAGUACAGUUGAUGUAAAUAGUUAUUUCCUUAUCUAUUAUGGUUUAUUAUUUUGCCGCUAAAGACAACAGACGGGCUUGCUGGACCAUGUGCAAUUCCAGCUACUGCCAACGGGAUUAGUUGAAUUAAUUAAUAAUAGUUUCUAAGUCAUUUUGAUUGUGUGGGAUACUGUUUUAGUUGCAAAUUAAACUUUUG